rnacentral:rRNA from 1 species
CAUGCAGGCGGUCCUGCGCGUUUCGAGUGACAGCUGCCAGCUUAACCGGCAGAGGGUUCGAAAGACGGUGGGACUUGAGGGCCAGAGAGGGACAUGGAAUUCCGGGUGGAGCGGUGAAAUGCGUAGAGAUCCGGAGGAACACCAAAGGCGAAGGCAGUGUCCUGGCUGGUUUCUGACGCUGAGGUGCGAAAGCUAGGGGAGCGAACGGGAUUAGAUACCCCGGUAGUCCUAGCCGUAAACGAUGACCACCAGGUGUGGGAGGUAUCGACCCCUUCCGUGCCGGCGUUAACACACUAAGUGGUCCGCCUGGGGAGUACGGUCGCAAGAUUAAA